UGCCAGACUCCUACGGGAGGCAGCAGUGGGGAAUAUUGCACAAUGGGGGAAACCCUGAUGCAGCGACGCCGCGUGAGCGAUGAAGUAUUUCGGUAUGUAAAGCUCUAUCAGCAGGGAAGAAGAUGACGGUACCUGACUAGGAAGCCCCGGCUAACCACGUGCCAGCAGCCGCGGUAAUACGUAGGGGGCAAGCGUUAUCCGGAUUUACUGGGUGUAAAGGGAGCGUAGACGGCGAUGCAAGCCAGAUGUGAAAGCCCGGGGCUCAACCCCGGGACUGCAUUUGGAACUGUGUGGCUGGAGUGUCGGAGGGGCAGGCGGAAUUCCUGGUGUAGCGGUGAAAUGCGUAGAUAUUAGGAGGAACACCAGUGGCGAAGGCGGCCUGCUGGACGAUGACUGACGUUGAGGCUCGAAAGCGUGGGGAGCAAACAGGAUUAGAUACCCUUGUA
rnacentral:rRNA from 1 species